rnacentral:rRNA from 1 species
UACGGAGGGGGCCAGCGUUGCUCGGAAUUAUUGGGCGUAAAGGGCGCGUAGGCGGCUUGGUAAGUUUGAUGUGAAAUCCCAUGGCUCAACCAUGGAACUGCAUCUCAUACUGCCGAGCUAGAGUCUGGGAGAGGGAAGCGGAAUUCCGAGUGUAGAGGUGAAAUUCGUAGAUAUUCGGAAGAACACCAGUGGCGAAGGCGACUUACUGGACACAUAUUGACGCUGAGGUGCGAAAGCGUGGGGAGCAAACAGG